AGAGUUUGAUCAUGGCUCAGAAUCAACGCUGGCGGCGUGCCUAACACAUGCAAGUCGAACGCGAAAGUGGAGCAAUCCAUGAGUAGAGUGGCAAACGGGUGAGUAACGCGUGGGCGACCUACCUUCGAGCGGGGGAUAACAUUCCGAAAGGAGUGCUAAUACCGCAUGACAUCCCGUGUUUGGAUACACGGACAUCAAAGCCGGGGAUCGCAAGACCUGGCACUUGAAGAGGGGCCCGCGUCCGAUUAGCUAGUUGGCGAGGUAACGGCUCACCAAGGCUCCGAUCGGUAUCCGGCCUGAGAGGGCGGACGGACACACUGGAACUGAGACACGGUCCAGACUCCUACGGGAGGCAGCAGUGGGGAAUUGUUCACAAUGGGCGCAAGCCUGAUGACGCAACGCCGCGUGGAGGAUGAAGAUCUUCGGGUCGUAAACUCCUUUCGACCGAGAUGAAUUUCCGCCGACCUAACACGUCGGCGGGGUGACAGUAUCGAGGGAAGAAGCCCCGGCUAACUCUGUGCCAGCAGCCGCGGUA
rnacentral:rRNA from 1 species